CCACAGGAUCUAAUGAGAUCCACCCACAGGUUCUGAGGGAAUUGG
rfam:Callipepla squamata strain Texas jcf7180005234356, whole genome shotgun sequence.